rnacentral:misc_RNA from 1 species
GAUGAAGAACGUAGUGAAAUGCGAUACUUGGUGUGAAUUGCAGAAUCCCGUGAACCAUCGAGUCUUUGAACGCAAGUUGCGCCUCAAGCCAUUAGGUUGAGGGCACGUCUGCCUGGGCGUCACAUAUCGUUGCCUGAUGCCAGUUUCCUCGUGAUGGGUGACUGUGCAGGGCGAAUGAUGGCUUCCCGUGAGCAUUGUUGCCUCAUGGUUGGUUGAACAUUGAGUCCUUGGUAGGGAGCGCCGUGAUAGAUGGUGGUUGAGUGACGAACGAGACCCAAUCAUGUGAGACCCCUACCGAAUUUGGCCUUCAUGACCCACAUGCGUCUUUGGAACGCUCAUGACGAGACCUCAGGUCAGGCGGGGCUACCCGCUGAGUUUAAGCAUAUCAAUAAGCGGAGGA